rnacentral:rRNA from 1 species
UGUUUGCUCCCCACGCUUUCGUGCAUGAGCGUCAGUGUUAGCCCAGGGGGCUGCCUUCGCCAUCGGUAUUCCUCCACAUCUCUACGCAUUUCACUGCUACACGUGGAAUUCUACCCCCCUCUUCUACACUCUAGCCCGACAGUUUCCAACGCAGUUCCCAGGUUGAGCCCGGGGAUUUCACAUCAGACUUGUCGAACCGCCUGCGCACGCUUUACGCCCAGUAAUUCCGAUUAACGCUCGCACCCUACGUAUUACCGCGGCUGCUGGCACGUAGUUAGCCGGUGCUUCUUAUCAAGGUACCGUCAGCCUCAUCUAGUAUUAGUAGAUAAGUUUUCUUUCCUUGCGAAAGAGCUUUACAACCCGAAGGCCUUCUUCACUCACGCGGAAUGGCUGGAUCAGGGUUUCCCCCAUUGUCCAAAAUUCCCCACUGCUGCCUCCCGUAGGAGUCUGGGCCGUGUCUCAGUCCCAGUGUGGCUGGUCGUCCUCUCAGACCAGCUACGGAUCGUCGCCUUGGUGGGCCUUUACCCCACCAACUAGCUAAUCCGGCAUCGGCCGCUCCAAUAACGCGAGGUCUUACGAUCCCCCGCUUUCCCCCUCAGGGCGUAUGCGGUAUUAGCACAUCUUUCGAUGUGUUAUCCCCCAUUACUGGGCACGUUCCGGUGCAUUACUCACCCGUUCGCCACUCGCCACCAGGUGCAAGCACCCGUGCUGCCGUUCGACUUGCAUGUGUAAAGCAUUCCGCCAGCGUUCAAUCUGAGCCAGGAUCAAACUC